rnacentral:rRNA from 1 species
UACAGAGACUGCAAGCGUUAUUCGGAUUCACUGGGCGUAAAGGGUGCGCAGGCGGCCGAGUGUGUGAGGCGUGAAAGCCCGGGGCUCAACCCCGGAAUUGCACCUCAAACUACACGGCUAGAGCAUUGGAGAGGGUAGCAGAAUUCAUGGUGUAGCAGUGAAAUGCGUAGAUAUCAUGAGGAAUACCAGAGGCGAAGGCGGCUACCUGGACAAUUGCUGACGCUCAGGCACGAAAGCGUGGGGAGCAAAAGGG